CUCCCAAAGAAAUGUGGGCACAAGGUGCGGACCACCAGGAACUGGCUGGUGCUGGUGGCUUCCUACAAAGGGUGUUACAUCAGGACCUGGAGGAAGAACCAGCGGCAACACUACUCCCUGACAGUGAGAUACUAUGA